rnacentral:rRNA from 1 species
GAUGAACGCUGGCGGCGUGCCUAAUACAUGCAAGUCGAGCGAACGGACGAGAAGCUUGCUUCUCUGAUGUUAGCGGCGGACGGGUGAGUAACACGUGGAUAACCUACCUAUAAGACUGGGAUAACUUCGGGAAACCGGAGCUAAUACCGGAUAAUAUUUUGAACCGCAUGGGUCAAAAGUGAGAGACGGUCUUGCUGUCACUUAUAGAUGGAUCCGCGCUUCAUUAGCUAGUUGGUAAGGUAACGGCUUACCAAGGCAACGAUGCAUAGACGACCUGAGAGGGUGGUAGGCCACACUGGAACUGAGCCGCGGUCCAGGCUCCUACGGGAGGCAGCAGUAGGGAAUCUUCCGCAAUGGGCGAAAGCCUGACGGAGCAACGGCGCGUGAGUGAUGAAGGUCUUCGGAUCGUAAAACUCUGUUAUUAGGGAAGAACAUAUGUGUAAGUAACUGUGCACAUCUUGACGGUAACUAAUCAGAAAGCCACGGCUAACUACGUG